AACCUUAUGGACCUGCGGGCGUAUACCUGCGGAGGGAUCAUUACCUAGAGUUGUAGGCUUUGCCUGCUUUCUCUUACCCAUGUCUUUUGAGUACUUACGUUUCCUCGGCGGGUCCGCCCGCCGAUUGGACAAUUUAAACCAUUUGCAGUUGCAAUCAGCGUCUGAAAAAACUUUAAUAGUUACAACUUUCAACAACGGAUCU
rnacentral:misc_RNA from 1 species